UCUAGAGAAGACGAACCUCUGGAAGUUCAUUCUGCACCUGACUCGAAUUCUCAAGAACCUCAAAAGGCUCUCAAAUUAGCCUUCACACUUCCUGCUUCUUGUUAUGCCACAAUGGCCAUUCGAGAGCUUCUCAAGACAUCGACUUCUGUUGCAUUCCACAAGACACUCAACUAAUAAACUUGUUUCCAUUCAUAUAGUUUACGAGAUUAGGAUCAACCCUCCGUGUUAAUCAGGAACGAGAAAACAAGGUUUAUUCCGGUACAAAUGGUUCUUUUUGGGUACAUGUUAGGUCCAUGUUUUUAUACAUUUGACAUACUUUACUCCCUGUGCCAACUAGCGUAUUCUUUUUCGAACUGGUAUUUAUGAUCUUAUAGUCAAAGGACAUGUUUCUGGAUUACUCGGCUCACUGUUUUCACUUAACAACGCUAGUCGUAUGUUUAGUACACAAAUAUAAUCCCUGUAGACAUGGUAGGAAAUAGCUUUCCUAUUACCUG